AACGAACGCUGGCGGCAUGCCUAACACAUGCAAGUCGAACGAGACCUUCGGGUCCAGUGGCGCACGGGUGCGUAACGCGUGGGAAUCUACCCUUGGGUUCGGAAUAACAGUUAGAAAUGACUGCUAAUACCGGAUGAUGACGUAAGUCCAAAGAUUUAUCGCCCAAGGAUGAGCCCGCGUAAGAUUAGCUUGUUGGUGGGGUAAUGGCCUACCAAGGCGACGAUCUUUAGCUGGUCUGAUAGGAUGAUCAGCCACACUGGGACUGAAACACGGCCCGGACUCCUACGGGAGGCAGCAGUGGGGAAUAUUGGACAAUGGGCGAAAGCCUGAUCCAGCAAUGCCGCGUGAGUGAUGAAGGCCUUAGGGUUGUAAAGAUCUUUUACCAGGGAUGAUAAUGACAGUACCUGGAGAAUAAGCUCCGGCUAACUCCGUGCCAGCCGCCGCGGUAA
rnacentral:rRNA from 1 species